rnacentral:rRNA from 1 species
GACGAACCGUGCGAACGUUGUUCGGAAUCACUGGGCUUAAAGGGCGCGUAGGCGGGCUGUCAAGUCUGGGGUGAAAUGCCGCGGCUCAACCGUGGAACUGCCUUAGAUACUGACGGCCUCGAGGAAGGUAGGGGCAUGCGGAACUGUAGGUGGAGCGGUGAAAUGCGUUGAUAUCUACAGGAACUCCGGUGGCGAAAGCAGCGUGCUGGACCUUUUCUGACGCUGAGGCGCGAAAGCUAGGGGAGCAAACGGG